GAUGAAGAACGUAGCGAAAUGCGAUAAGUAAUGUGAAUUGCAGAAUUCAGUGAAUCAUCGAAUCUUUGAACGCACCUUGCGCCUUUUGGUAUUCCGAAAGGCACACCUGUUUGAGCGUCAUGAAUACCUCAAUCUCCAUCUUUUCUUCGGAUUGAUGGGUGACUUGGAUGUUGAGCCCUGCUGGUAUGCUAUAUCAGCUGGCUUUAAACUUAUUAGCCGGCUCUGUACUGGAUCGGUUUGACUCGACGUGAUAAUAUUAUCGUUGAGGAUGCAUGUCUCAUGCAGCCGGAAAGUAUCAAAGCAGCUUCUCGCUUGCCUUUAGUGCACUUUUACAUUUUAGACCUCAGAUCAGGUGGGACUACCCGCUGAACUUAAGCAUAUCAAUAAGCGGAGGA
rnacentral:misc_RNA from 1 species